rnacentral:rRNA from 1 species
GCCACAAACCCAGCCUUAAUUAUUCAUCAACAAAAGAUUAUCAACCCCACUAACCUCACCAACUAAAUCAUUUUAAACUUUUAGUAUAGGCGAUAGAAACAAGUCAAAGAGCUACACAUCUAGUACCGCAAGGGAAAGGUGAAAUAGAAAUGAAAAAAAUAACAAAGCAACAAACAGCAGAGAAAACCCCUCGUACCUUUUGCAUAAUGGUCUAGCAAGUCCUAGUCAAGCAAAAAGAAUUUUAGUUUGACCCCCCGAAACUAAGCGAGCUACUCCGAGACAGCUUUUUAGAGCCAACCCGUCUCUGUGGCAAAAGAGUGGGAAGAUCUCCGAGUAGGGGUGACAGACCAAACGAGCUUAGUGAUAGCUGGUUGCUCAGGAAACGAAUAUAAGAUCAACUCUAAGUCUUGUUAUUAGCAGAAAAAGCAAAAAACAUUUCUUAGAAUUUAUUCAACCAGGGUACAGCCUGGUUGAAACAGGGUACAACCUAGAACUAUGGGUAAAGAUCACAUCUCAACAGGAAAAUGAACCAGUGGGCCUAAAAGCAGCCACCUGUAAAGAAAGCGUCAAAGCUCAUUCCCACAUCUUCCACCAAUACCGACACCACAUCCGAACCCUUUUUUCCAUACUGAGCUGUUCAAUUCUAAUAUUGAAGCACUUAUGCUAGAACUAGUAAUGUGAAUUUAACAUUCUCACAAAUGCAAGUGUAAAUCAGAUCGAAUCAAUCACUGAUAAUUAACGACCUUAUUGAGAAUACUUCAGCAACAAUUCAAGAAAACCCUGAACACAACAUCGUUAACCUAACACAAGAGCAUUUCAAGAAAGAUUAAAAGAUGCAGAAGGAACUCGGCAAACAACGAACCCCGCCUGUUUACCAAAAACAUCGCCUCUUGCUAAACAACAUGUAUAAGAGGUCCAGCCUGCCCAGUGACUAUAUGUUCAACGGCCGCGGUAUUCUGACCGUGCAAAGGUAGCGUAAUCACUUGUCUUUUAAAUAAAGACUGGUAUGAAAGGCACCACGAAGGUUCAACUGUCUCCUGCAUCCAAUCCAUUAAACUGACCUCCCCGUGCAGAGGCGGGGAUACAACCAUAAGACGAGAAGACCCUAUGGAGCUUUAAACUUACGGCAACUGCUAACUAACCUAACCUCACACGAGAUAAAAAAUAACCUGGCAACAAUGACCUAAAGUUUUCGGUUGGGGCGACCACGGAGAAAAAGAAAUCCUCCUUGACGUACGAGGCCUUACCCUCUUAACCAAGAACGACAGUUCUAAGUAACAAAACAUUUGACCAUUAUUGAUCCAGUCUUACUGAUCAACGAACCAAGUUACCCUAGGGAUAACAGCGCAAUCCAUUUCGAAAGUUCCUAUCGACAAAUGGGUUUACGACCUCGAUGUUGGAUCAGGGCAUCCCAGUGGUGCAGCCGCUACUAAAGGUUCGUUUGUUCAACGAUUAAAGCCCUACGUGAUCUGAGUUCAGACCGGAGUAAUCCAGGUCAGUUUCUAUCUAUGCAGUAUUUUCUCUAGUACGAAAGGACCGAGAAAAUGAGGCCAAUUUACAAACAAGCCUCCUCCCUUAUCAAUGAAACCAACUUAAUUGAAUAAAGGACUUCAACUUUAAGCCCAAGAUCAGGGCUA